rnacentral:lncRNA from 1 species
UAUAUAUAUAUCAGUGGCAGAGCAGUGGGUGGGUUGGUGCGUUCUUAGAGUCUCUUGUUCUUGGAGAAAAACAAAUAAAGUAAAGAAAAGCCGGCCUUCUUACAAUUGACUAGAGCCUAUUUAGACAACAUUUUCCGGCAACCUUUAGCUGACUAGAUGUGUCAGCUGAUGUGUGCAAUUUUAUAUACUUCAACUAAGAUGAGAUGUGCGGUUGAAAGCUUUCAAGACACCAUGAAAGUAGUGACACGAGUCCGUAUGUGAC